UGUAUGUUGCACUCUUUUUCC
rnacentral:siRNA from 1 species